AUUGAACGCUGGCGGCGUGCCUAACACAUGCAAGUCGAGCGUAGCGGGGACGGGUGAGUAACACGUGGCUAACAUCUUAUAAGACUGGGAUAAGAUCGGGAAACCGUAGCUAAACAGGAUACUUAAAGAUGGAUCCGCGCUGCAUUAGUUAGUUGGUAAGGUAACGGCUUACCAAGGCAACGAUGCAUAGCCGACCUGAGAGGGUUAUCGGCCACACUGGAACUGAGACACGGUCCAGACUCCUACGGGAGGCAGCAGUAGGGAAUCUUCCACAAUGGGCGAAAGCCUGACGGAGCCAUGCCGCGUGUGUGAUGAAGGUCUUCGGAUCUUAAAACUCUUUUAUUAGGGAAGCGGUACCUAAACAGAAAGCAACGGCUAACUACGUGCCAGCAGCCGCGGUAAUAC
rnacentral:rRNA from 1 species